GACGAACGCUGGCGGCGUGCUUAACACAUGCAAGUCGAACGGUGAACCACUUCGGUGGGGAUCAGUGGCGAACGGGUGAGUAACACGUGGGCAACCUGCCCUUAGCUCUGGGAUAACCCCGGGAAACCGGGGCUAAUACCGGAUACGACCUCGAGCGGCAUCACUCGAGGUGGAAAGAACUUCGGCUAAGGAUGGGCCCGCGGCCUAUCAGCUUGUUGGUGGGGUAAUGGCCUACCAAGGCGACGACGGGUAGCCGGCCUGAGAGGGCGACCGGCCACACUGGGACUGAGACACGGCCCAGACUCCUACGGGAGGCAGCAGUGGGGAAUAUUGCGCAAUGGGCGAAAGCCUGACGCAGCGACGCCGCGUGAGGGACGAAGGCCUUCGGGUCGU
rnacentral:rRNA from 1 species